GACGAACGCUGGCGGCGUGCUUAACACAUGCAAGUCGAACGGAAAGGCCCUGCUUUUGUGGGGUGCUCGAGUGGCGAACGGGUGAGUAACACGUGAGUAACCUGCCCUUGACUUUGGGAUAACUUCAGGAAACUGGGGCUAAUACCGGAUAGGAGCUCCUGCUGCAUGGUGGGGGUUGGAAAGUUUCGGCGGUUGGGGAUGGACUCGCGGCUUAUCAGCUUGCUGGUGGGGUAGUGGCUUACCAAGGCUUUGACGGGUAGCCGGCCUGAGAGGGUGACCGGCCACAUUGGGACUGAGAUACGGCCCAGACUCCUACGGGAGGCAGCAGUGGGGAAUAUUGCACAAUGGGCGGAAGCCUGAUGCAGCAACGCCGCGUGCGGGAUGACGGCCUUCGGGUUGUAAACCGCUUUCGCCUGUGACGAAGCGUGAGUGACGGUAAUGGGUAAAGAAGCACCGGCUAACUACGUGCCAGCAGCCGCGGUGAUACGUAGGGUGCGAGCGUUGUCCGGAUUUAUUGGGCGUAAAGGGCUCGUAGGUGGUUGAUCGCGUCGGAAGUGUAAUCUUGGGGCUUAACCCUGAGCGUGCUUUCGAUACGGGUUGACUUGAGGAAGGUAGGGGAGAAUGGAAUUCCUGGUGGAGCGGUGGAAUGCGCAGAUAUCAGGAGGAACACCAGUGGCGAAGGCGGUUCUCUGGGCCUUUCCUGACGCUGAGGAGCGAAAGCGUGGGGAGCGAACAGGCUUAGAUACCCUGGUAGUCCACGCUGUAAACGGUGGGUACUAGGUGUGGGGUCCAUUCCACGGGUUCCGUGCCGUAGCUAACGCUUUAAGUACCCCGCCUGGGGAGUACGGCCGCAAGGCUAAAACUCAAAGGAAUUGACGGGGCCCCGCACAAGCGGCGGAGCAUGCGGAUUAAUUCGAUGCAACGCGUAGAACCUUACCUGGGUUUGACAUGGAUCGGGAGCGCUCAGAGAUGGGUGUGCCUCUUUUGGGGUCGGUUCACAGGUGGUGCAUGGCUGUCGUCAGCUCGUGUCGUGAGAUGCUGGGUUAAGUCCCGCAACGAGCGCAACCCUUGUUCACUGUUGCCAGCACGUUAUGGUGGGGACUCAGUGGAGACCGCCGGGGUCAACUCGGAGGAAGGUGGGGAUGACGUCAAGUCAUCAUGCCCCUUAUGUCCAGGGCUUCACGCAUGCUACAAUGGCUGGUACAGAGAGUGGCGAGCCUGUGAGGGUGAGCGAAUCUCGGAAAGCCGGUCUCAGUUCGGAUUGGGGUCUGCAACUCGACCUCAUGAAGUCGGAGUCGCUAGUAAUCGCAGAUCAGCAACGCUGCGGUGAAUACGUUCCCGGGGCU
rnacentral:rRNA from 1 species